ACUCAAAUGAAUAGACGGGGGCCCGCACAAGCGGUGGAGCAUGUGGUUUAAUUCGACGCAACGCGAAGAACCUUACCUGGGUUUGAACUGCAGGCGAUCGCCCCAGAAAUGGGAUUUCCCUUCGGGGCGCCUGUAGAGGUGCUGCAUGGCUGUCGUCAGCUCGUGUCGUGAGAUGUUGGGUUAAGUCCCGCAACGAGCGCAACCCUUGUCCCUAGUUGCCAGCGGGUUAUGCCGGGAACUCUAGGGAGACUGCCCCGGAAAACGGGGAGGAAGGUGGGGAUGACGUCAAGUCCUCAUGGCCUCUAUGUCCAGGGCUACACACGUGCUACAAUGGGCGAUACAAAGGGUCGCAAAGCCGCAAGGUGAAGCCAAUCCCAAAAAGUCGCUCUCAGUUCGGAUUGCAGUCUGCAACUCGACUGCAUGAAGUUGGAAUCGCUAGUAAUCCCGGAUCAGCAUGCCGGGGUGAAUACGUUCCCGGGCCUUGUACACACCGCCCGU
rnacentral:rRNA from 1 species